rnacentral:rRNA from 1 species
UGGGGAAUUUUGGACAAUGGGCGAAGCCUGAUCCAGCAAUGCCGCGUGUGUGAAGAAGGCCUUCGGGUUGUAAAGCACUUUUGUCCGGAAAGAAAUCCUUGGCUCUAAUACAGUCGGGGGAUGACGGUACCGGAAGAAUAAGCACCGGCUAACUACGUGCCAGCAGCCGCGGUAAUACGUAGGGUGCAAGCNUUAAUCGGAAUUACUGGGCGUAAAGCGUGCGCAGGCGGUUUGCUAAGACCGAUGUGAAAUCCCCGGGCUCAACCUGGGAACUGCAUUGGUGACUGGCAGGCUAGAGUAUGGCAGAGGGGGGUAGAAUUCCACGUGUAGCAGUGAAAUGCGUAGAGAUGUGGAGGAAUA